rnacentral:sRNA from 1 species
UCAGCACAGAGAGGGAUAUUUCUCCUCACAAGCAAUCUCUGAGCUAGAAGUUGUGUUUGACUACUAUCUCUCGCCUCAACCCUGAAAUAUCUUAGUCCAGAUCUUAUUCGGGUAUUACGGCAGCUAAUGUUCUCGUUACUGCGACGUGGGUGUGAUUUCUUGAUAGGAGAUAUAUUUUCCUCCCAACAUAUUACAAUGACUACGAUAUAUUGGAAAUCAUUAACGCUCUGUAUGAUGCCCUCACGAAUUGAUUGAGUUAUCCCGGAAAGAGUUGGCCAGCGCUCAAUGGCCACCAUGGAUUACCUCCCCUGCAGCCGUCAUACAAUGGCAUGUGGCCGCACAAGGCACAAUAAAGAAUCUAAAACACGAAAUGCCCUUUACGUUUUCAGAAAUAUCACGUAGGGUAUUACCAGCCGACUGCACAGCCAGAUCCCAAGAGCAUACAUGUAUGCUGGUGGUCUCAUAUUUCCUUAAUUUUCUUUGUACGUGACUGAAACUGGCAAGGUCACUUCAAGGCCGGGCUUCGCAUCGACGAUUUUUCUAAUACAGGAAGUGGACUGAAGCAAGCCACCACCAACAUCACCAACUCAAGAGGCA